GAUGAACGCUGGCGGCGUGCCUAAUACAUGCCAGUCGAGCGAACAGACGAGGAGCUUGCUCCUCUGACGUUAGCGGCGGACGGGUGAGUAACACGUGGAUAACCUACCUAUAAGACUGGGAUAACUUCGGGAAACCGGAGCUAAUACCGGAUAAUAUAUUGAACCGCAUGGUUCAAUAGUGAAAGACGGUUUUGCUGUCACUUAUAGAUGGAUCCGCGCCGCAUUAGCUAGUUGGGAAGGUAACGGCUUACCAAGGCAACGAUGCGUAGCCGACCUGAGAGGGUGAUCGGCCACACUGGAACUGAGACACGGUCCAGACUCCUACGGGAGGCAGCAGUAGGGAAUCUUCCGCAAUGGGCGAAAGCCUGACGGAGCAACGCCGCGUGAGUGAUGAAGGUCUUCGGAUCGUAAAACUCUGUUAUUAGGGAAGAACAAAUGUGUAAGUAACUAUGCACGUCUUGACGGUACCUAAUCAGAAAGCCACGGCUAACUACGUG
rnacentral:rRNA from 1 species